UUUUUGUUAAAAAUAAAAAGUCUAACCUGCCCACUGAUAAGAUAUUAAAGGGCCGCGGUAUAUUGACUGUGCAAAGGUAGCAUAAUCAUUUGUCUCUUAAUUGGAGGCUUGAAUGAAUGGUUGAAUGAAAUAUUAACUGUCUCAGUUUUAAAAAUUUAAAAAUUUAAUUUUUGAGUUAAAAAGCUUAAAUUUUUUUAGAGGACGAGAAGACCCUAUAGAUCUUUAUAUUUAUUAUUUUAUUAUAAAAUAGAAAAAUAUUUAAUAAUAUUUUAAUAAUUAUUUUAUUGGGGUGAUAGGAAAAUUAAAAAAACUUUUUUUAUUAUUAAACAUAAAUUAAUGAAUAAUUGAUCCAUAAUUUGUGAUUAUAAGAUUAAGUUACCUUAGGGAUAACAGCGUAAUUUUUUUAAAGAGUUCAUAUCGAUAAAAAAGAUUACGACCUCGAUGUUGAAUUAAAGAUAGUUUUAGAUGUAGCAGUUUAAAGAUUAGGUCUGUUCGACCUUUAAAUCUUU
rnacentral:rRNA from 1 species